rnacentral:rRNA from 1 species
CCUACGGGAGGCAGCAGUGGGGGAUAUUGCACAAUGGGGGAAACCCUGAUGCAGCGACGCCGCGUGGGUGAAGAAGUAUUUCGGUAUGUAAAGCCCUAUCAGCAGGGAAGAAAGAAGACGGUACCUGACUAAGAAGCCCCGGCUAACUACGUGCCAGCAGCCGCGGUAAUACGUAGGGGGCGAGCGUUAUCCGGAUUCACUGGGUGUAAAGGGAGCGUAGACGGCUGUGCAAGCCAGGAGUGAAAGCCCGGGGCCCAACCCCGGGACUGCGCUUGGAACUGUGCGGCUGGAGUGCGGGAGGGGCAGGCGGAAUUCCUGGUGUAGCGGUGAAAUGCGUAGAUAUCAGGAGGAACACCGGCGGCGAAGGCGGCCUGCUGGACCGCGACUGACGUUGAGGCUCGAAAGCGUGGGGAGCGAACAGGAUUAGAUACCCUAGUAGUC